rnacentral:rRNA from 1 species
UACGUAGGGUCCGAGCGUUGUCCGGAAUUACUGGGCGUAAAGGGCGCGUAGGCGGCCAUCUAAGUCAGACGUGAAAUCCCCCGGCUUAACCUGGGAACUGCGUCUGAUACUGGACGGCUUGAGUAUGGGAGAGGGAUGUAGAAUUCCAGGUGUAGCGGUGAAAUGCGUAGAUAUCUGAAGGAACAUCAGUGGCGAAAGCGACUUCCUGGACCAAUACUGACGCUCAUGUGCGAAAGCGUGGGGAGCAAACAGG